GACGAACGCUGGCGGCGUGCUUAACACAUGCAAGUUGAACGAGAAUUUUUUAAUAGAUUUCUUCGGAAUGAAAUUAAAAAGGAAAGUAGCGAACGGGUGAGUAACACGUGAGAAACCUGCCUUUCACAAAGGGAUAGCCUCGGGAAACCGGGAUUAAUACCUUAUGACACGGAGAUAUCGCAUGAUAAUUUCGUUAAAGAAUUUCGGUGAAAGAUGGUCUCGCGUCUGAUUAGCUAGUUGGUAAGGUAACGGCUUACCAAGGCGACGAUCAGUAGCCGGAUUGAGAGGUUGAACGGCCACACUGGAACUGAGACACGGUCCAG
rnacentral:rRNA from 1 species